UGGGGAAUUUUGGACAAUGGGCGAAAGCCUGAUCCAGCAAUGCCGCGUGUGUGAAGAAGGCCUUCGGGUUGUAAAGCACUUUUGUCCGGAAAGAAAUCCUUGGCUCUAAUACAGUCGGGGGAUGACGGUACCGGAAGAAUAAGCACCGGCUAACUACGUGCCAGCAGCCGCGGUAAUACGUAGGGUGCAAGCGUUAAUCGGAAUUACUGGGCGUAAAGCGUGCGCAGGCGGUUUGCUAAGACCGAUGUGAAAUCCCCGGGCUCAACCUGGGAACUGCAUUGGUGACUGGCAGGCUAGAGUAUGGCAGAGGGGGGUAGAAUUCCACGUGUAGCAGUGAAAUGCGUAGAGAUGUGGAGGAAUACCGAUGGCGAAGGCAGCCCCCUGGGCCAAUACUGACGCUCAUGCACGAAAGCGUGGGGAGCAAACAGGAUUAGAUACCCUGGUAGUCCACGCCCUAAACGAUGUCAACUAGUUGUUGGGGAUUCAUUCCUUAGUAACGUAGCUAACGCGUGAAGUUGACCGCCUGGGGAGUACGGUCGCAAGAUUAAAACUCAAAGGAAUUGAGC
rnacentral:rRNA from 1 species